UUGGGGUUCUUUGAUAUACUGAAUCCAAAAAUGUACUUAGAUUUUUUAUUAUGGGCCCAGUUUUCAAGUUGGUCCAAAUCAGGAUCUAAAAUUAUUAUAUUAAGUAUUGUGCAAUAGCAAGUCUUUUCAAUUGCACAGUAUUGCGCAAUGGCAAGAAAUAUCUUAUUGCACAAUAUUGUGAAAUAGCAAAUUUUUUUUUAAUUAGAGUUAUCUUACUUUGUCCAGAAUAGUAAGCAAGAAAUAUCUAAUUGCA
rnacentral:lncRNA from 1 species